CCCUUAGAUGUUCUGGGCCGCACGCGCGCUACACUGAUGCAUUCAACGAGUUUCUUCCUGGUCCGAGAGGAAUGGGUAACCUUUUGAAAGUGCAUCGUGAUAGGGAUAGACUAUUGCAAUUAUUGGGCUUCAACGAGGAAUUCCUAGUAGACGUAGUUCAUCAGACUGCAUCGAUUACGUCCCUGCCCUUUGUACACACCGCCCGUCGCUCCUACCGAUUGAAUGCUCAGGUGAGCCAUUCGGACUUUCAUCAUGCUGGUUUCCAGUUUUGAUGAAGGAAAGUCUUGCGAACCUUAUCAUUUAGAGGAAGGAGAAGUCGUAACA
rnacentral:rRNA from 1 species